rnacentral:lncRNA from 1 species
AGUGCCCCGCCCAGCAUACAGUAUAAAUACAGUGCUCAGCCUUGCCAUCUCCCACAGAGCGUGCCAGACCAGAAACAACUCCGCUCCAGAGAGAGUAAAGACGCAAAGAUGAAGGUGUCAUAUGUGGCCGCUUUCCUCAUCGGGCUCCUCUCCCUGGAGAGCACCAGAGCGGCUCCGUUGUUGUGGUCUGUGGGCUCUGGUAGCGUAAAGACCGGUGACGUGGGCCACGGCAGCUUUAACGACAACAGCAAAAACAACAAAUUCUGGUCAGUGGGCUCUGGGAGCGUAAACACCGGUGACGUGGGCCACGGCAGCUUUAACGACAACAGCAAAAACAACAAAUUCUGGUCAGUGGGCUCUGGUAGCGUAAAGACUGGUGACGUGGGCCACGGCAGCUUUAACGACAACAGCAAAAACAACCAAUUCUGGUCAGUGGACUCUGGUAGCGUAAACACCGGUAACGUGGGCCACGGCAGCUUUAACGACAACAGUAUAAACAACAAAUUCUUGCCAGUGAAAAACAACAAAUUCUGGUCAGUGGGCUCUGGUAGCGUAAACACUGGAGACGUGGGCCACGGCAGCUUUAACGACAACAGUAUAAACAACAAAAUCUUGCCAGUGAAAAAGAACAAAUUCUGGUCAGUGGGCUCUGGGAGCGUAAACACCGGUGACGUGGGCCACGGCAGCUUUAACGACAACAGCAAAAACAACAAAUUCUGGUCAGUGGACUCUGGUAGCGUAAACACCGGUGACGUAGGCCAUGGCAGCUUUAACGACAACAGCAAAAACAACAAAUUAUGCUUAGUGGGCUCCGGAAGCAAAAAGACCGGCAAAGUGGUCGACAGCAGCUUUGACAACAAAAGCGUAAGUAGUAGAGAUUAUCUCUCCAUGCUAUGUAGCUUCACACACAUCUGUGAACAGACCGUGUUUCAGCUAGUUUGAUGUCUCGUAACCUUUGCCUGCGAGGAACACUGGCUGCAUUUGCCCAUGUUGUAAAUGCAGCAUGGAGAGUCCUCCCACUCCACAGGCUCCUCCCCACAGCUCCCAUUGAACGGUUUCCAGACAAUGGGAGUGCCGAUCUGUUGCUUAUAGUGGGGGCAUAGCUUCAUGGCCCCUCUUCCUAGAAGCUGGACCUGCUGCUGGCUGCUUCCGGGGCGCAACGCGGUGUCAGAAC